rnacentral:snRNA from 1 species
AUACUUAUCUGGCAGGGGAGAUUACCAUGAUCACGAAGAUGGUUUUCCUAGGGCGAGGUUUAUCCAUUGCACUCCGGAUGUGCUGACCCCUGCGAUUUCCCCAAAUGUGGGAAACUCGACUGCAUAAUUUGUGGUAGUGGGGGACUAUGUUCACACUCUCCCCUA